AAAAAAGGAGUCGAAAAAAAUAUUUAAAAUAAUAAAGAAUAUAUUUAUGAAGUCUCUGAAGAUGAUUAUGGAUGCAGGCUUAGUAAAAAGAGAACAGAUAAAGAAAAUACUCGACUUUUUUUCGGAAAAAAUAUAAAAUGGAUUACAGGUAAAAGCAGAUACAAAGAAAGAAAAUAUGCUUUUAUUUAAUCAUAUGCUUAAAUGAAAACUCUAACAUAAUCUUCGUAUCACGUGGACAUUUACGUUGCUGUAAAAGUUACGUACAGAAGUUAAAAUGUGUCCUGUUUGCAGCAACAGCUAUUAUCAGUAUAUAUCAACGAUAAUAUUAUAAAUCGGAUAAAGGGUUUUCAUAUAUGAAUAUUCUUAUCUACACCUGGUUGUUUUGAUAAUGAAUUUAUUGGAACUCUCUCCAAC